GGGGGGCUUGGGUGGACCCUAGGAAGUAAAAAGAAUAAAAUGGGUUGCCCUCUACGUUGAGGCCAAAAAAUAAAAGUCCCAAAAUGCAGAAGUCGCGCUCAGCGCCCCUCAAUAGGGCGUUGAGCGCCAUGCGUGACUUGCCUCCUCUUCUCUUUUUGGCUGUUCUUGGGUGUUCUUAGUCAAGGUCCCUCAAUUUCAACUCCAAAAUUUUCACAUUUCAGCUAUCUUUUCCCUAACUCACGCAUCAACACUCAGUUCAAACAAUUAAUCUCUCAACACCCCACAAACAUUCAUUAACCCACACAUACUAUGUACACUAAAAUAGAACAAAUAAUCAAUCAACCAACAGAAAAAAAAAAACAAAUAAUCCUAAGACUAAGUUCAACUCAAAUAGCAAAAAUCCAAACCAAAGAAAUAAUAAACAACUUAAAGAAUUUUAAAAACACUGGGUUGCCUCCCAGUAAGCGCUUCUUUAACGUCAUUAGAUAGACACCGUCAAAGCUCACGUCAUAUCUUUAAUCUUGGUGUUUUCUUUUCUUACUCCGCACCAACUUAUCUGCAACAACUUCCUUUUCACCUUCUUGACUCUUCUGGAAAUUGGAGAUUCAAUCUCUAUCAAUCCAUCAGCUUUAAGUUCCUUCACAAUCCAUAAUUUGUUGUUGAAUCUCACUAGUUUGUCUGGUCUCAAUUCUUCAUGUUUAUCCUUCGAGUCUUGAUGAAAUUUUUUCCUUUGUUGUCUUUUUCUUCCUCUCUUACUUGUGACAAAAAACAAUUUUUACCUUUCUUGCCUGACUUUGCAGCUUUUGUACUAGUCACUGGUGCAUCUUCAUAUGUAGCUUUGAGACUAGUCUUCUUCACUUGGAUUUUUUGCUAAGUAUUGAAGACGUUGAACAUCACCUCCUCUUCUUGGUCUUUGAGCGCUAUAGUUCCAUCAUCAACAUUGAUUAUAACCUUGGCCGUUUUCAUGAAUGACCUUCCAAGAAUAAUAGGGAUCUCCACAUCUUCCCCAUCUCCAUUACCACAAAGUCCACUAAGGUUGUCUAUUCGAACCACCACAUCUUCCGCCACACC
rnacentral:lncRNA from 1 species